AGCAGCCGCGGUAAUUCCAGCUCCAAUAGCGUAUAUUAAAGUUGUUGCAGUUAAAAAGCUCGUAGUUGAAUUUCGAGAUCGGCUUACUGGUCGUGCUUUUGUACGUACUGGUAAAUCGGUUUCUCCUUUCUGACGAACUUUAAUGCCAUUAAUUUGGUGUUUUAGGGAAUCAGGACUGUUACUUUGAAAAAAUUAGAGUGUUUAAAGCAGGCUCACGCUUGAAUACAUUAGCAUGGAAUAACGGAAUAGGACGUUUGAUUCUAUUUUGUUGGUUUCUAGGAUCGACGUAAUGGUUAAUAGGGAUAGUUGGGGGCAUUAGUAUUCAAUUGUCAGAGGUGAAAUUCUUGGAUUUAUUGAAGACUAACUACUGCGAAAGCAUUUGCCAAGGAUGUUUUCAUUAAUCAAGAACGAAAGUUAGGGGAUCGAAGACGAUCAGAUACCGUCGUAGUCUUAACCAUAAACUAUGCCGACUAGGGAUCGGAUGAUGUAAUUUUUAAUGACUCAUUCGGCGCCUUACGGG
rnacentral:sRNA from 1 species